rnacentral:other from 1 species
GUUGUGAAUUGCUUUCAAAUUGUAUCUUUGACAUAUUGGUAACAAC